rnacentral:sRNA from 1 species
CAGAACCUGCUAACCAUGCCUGGGGGCGUGGCCAAGGCUGGCUACCUGCACAAGAAGGGCGGUACCCAGCUGCAGCUGCUGAAAUGGCCCCUGCGCUUUGUCAUCAUCCACAAACGCUGCGUCUACUACUUCAAGAGCAGCACCUCCGCCUCCCCGCAGGGCGCCUUCUCCCUGAGUGGUUAUAACCGGCAGCCCAGACCCCAGCCAGCCCAGGCCCUGUCCCAAACAGAGGCUGGGCCCUAGGAUUCCCUGCCCCAGGGUCCUCCCAGGCCGGGAUCAGUUUCCAGCUUCACACAUGUCCUGGGCUGGGCUCUAUCCAGUGAUGGGCCAUGAGCUGCCCUGGAGGGCCUUCCGCACUAACAGGCAGGGUGAUGCGGGCGGCUGAGGAGACCACGUCCAACAACGUUUUCCCCUUCAAGAUCAUCCACAUCAGCAAGAAGCACCGCACGUGGUUCUUCUCGGCCUCCUCCGAGGAGGAGCGCAAGGUGACUGGGGGUCCAAGGACGAGUGCAAGGUGACUGGGGGUGUGGGCCUGCA